GUCUCAAACCAGUUGUUCGUUACCGAACCUGGACCUAGACCCAGAAUGUUUCCAACCCAUUGAAAACAUUCUGGACCUCUGCUCUCUCGGCUCUGACCCUGGACAAUCCCCUGGACCAAGUUGCUGAAGGAUAACCCCUUACAGACUGUCUGCUUCGACUGAAGUUCGACUCCUCGGCUGCUGCCAACGUCCCCAGCAUUGACUCUCCCUAAUCAGGGGUUUCCAGCCGAGCUGAGGUGCUCCACAUUGCUACUCCGCAUCUCGAAAUAAACUUGUUUUCAUCGUCACUGAUCUGUUUUCUAGCUGAUUUACUGGGUCCAGACUCUGCA